GAGAACCAGUCAGGCAGCACUAUGUAUGCAUGUACUUGGUCAGUUCAUUUUUAUAGUAAAUUGAUAUUAAUUUUAUGGAGCACUGUAGUGGUAGACUUUAUAUAAAAAAAAUAUUUUCUUGUUGUAUUGGAAAGUAUUUCAUGUGUGCACACACUCAAACGAAUUGCUUUAGCGAGUAAUUACCUCUAUGUUGUAGUCUUGUUAUUUCAGUAGCUUCCACCACUCAGCACUGCUUCUUUCGUAAUUCACUGUAGAAACAUAUUAAUCUCUGUGUGUGGAUGACUUUUCCACUUCACUUUUGCUGCUAUAAUAUUGUUGGAAAUACAUGAAUGUCACAUAAUCUCAUCUUUUUAUAAAUGGUGAUGACUUACGGAUGAGCUCAAAACUCAAAAGGUUGAUUAAUUUUAAUUAUUUGUUUUAAAAACAUUACCAUACAUGUGUGUAACGAAUGACACAUAAGGUCCACAGCCACCAUCAUCAUCAUCAUUGUCAUCAUUAUUAUCAUGUGUAUAUCUCAUAACUAUCUGAAAAUAAAUGGUGGAUUGUGAAAUCUUUAGAAUUUCUGAAUUAUGCUGACAAGCAUGAGACAUGAUUAAUAUUUCUGGUGCAGUAAAGACAUACUACCAUUCUAUCAGACUUCUGCUUUCUUUUAGGAAAGGUCUUGACUAUAAAGUCUUAAUUACAAAACUCUUUUAAUCCAUAUCAGAAGACAUC